rnacentral:rRNA from 1 species
GAUGAACGCUGGCGGCGUGGAUAAGGCAUGCAAGUCGAGGGGUAGCAGGAUUAAGCUUGCUUAAUUGCUGACGACCGGCGCACGGGUGCGUAACGCGUAUGCAACCUACCUUAUACUGGGGUAUAGCCCGGAGAAAUUCGGAUUAAUCCCCCAUAGUACUAAUGAAUCGCAUGGUUUAUUAGUUAAAGCAUUGCGGUAUAAGAUGGGCAUGCGUCCUAUUAGCUAGAUGGUGAGGUAACGGCUCACCAUGGCUACGAUAGGUAGGGGGCCUGAGAGGGUGGUCCCCCACACUGGUACUGAGACACGGACCAGACUCCUACGGGGGGCAGCAGUGAGGAAUAUUGGUCAAUGGGCGCAAGCCUGAACCAGCCAUGCCGCGUGCAGGAAGAAUGCCCUAUGGGUUGUAAACUGCUUUUAUUUGGGAAUAAACCUCUUUACGUGUAGAGAGCUGAAGGUACCAAAUGAAUAAGCACCGGCUAACUCCGUGCCAGCCGCCGCCGUAA